rnacentral:lncRNA from 1 species
GGAGAGGCCAGAAAUGGUAAAUUAUCAAGCUGUAGUUCACUUGAAACAAAGGGAUUGUGAUCUUUGUACACAAGACAUAUUUGAACAUAUUUCUUCAACAGAGAUUAACCUCAGACCUACUGUGUGACAUAAGUUAUUGAAAAUGCUGGAUUACGAGGGAGGUGGAUCACGAGGUCAAGAGAUCAAGACCAUCCUGGCCAACAUGAUGAAACCCUGUCUCUACUAAAAUUAGCCAGGCAUGAUGGCGUGCACCUGUAGUCCCUGCUACUUAGGGGGCUGAGGCAGGAGAAUCACUUGAACCUGGGAGGCAGAGGUUGCAGUGAGCCCAUUUCGCACCACUGUACUCCAGCCUGAUGACAGAGCGAGACUCCAUUUCAAAGAAAAAGAAAAAAAAAAGAAAGAAAAUACUGGAUUAAUGUGCGAGGAGUUACUGGCUGAAGUCACACACAAAAAGCAUCUCUUUGUGUACGAUCCAUGAAUUUAAUGAUUUAUCUAUCAUACGUUUUUCUUUUCAAGAAACCGAGUAUAUGCGGAUGUGGUUAUGGAACUACUUCUUCAAAUACAAUGACGCAUGUUUAAAUCUUGCAUUGAUAUUUUACUUUUUUUUAAGUAGGUGUUCUUUCUUUUUCUUUUUCUUUAUUUUAUUAUUUUUUUUUAUUUUACUUUAAGUUCUGGGAUACAUGUACAGAAGCGUGCAGGUGUGUUACAUAGGUACACAUGUGCCAUGGUGGUUUGCUGCAUCUAUCAACCCAUCAUCUAGGUUUUAACACCUGCAUGCAUUAGGUAUUUGUCCUAAUGCCCUCCCUCCCCUUGCCCCCCACCCCCCAACAGGCCCUGGUGUGUGAUGUUCCCCUCCCUGUGUCCAUGUGUUCUUAUUGUUCAACUCCUACUUAUGAGUGAGAACAUGCAGUGUUUGGUUUGCUGUUCCUGUGUUAGUUUGCUGAGGAUGAUGGUUUCCAGCUUCAUCCAUGUCCUGCAAACGACAUGAACUCAUUCUUUUUUAUGGCUACAUAGUAUUCCACAGUGUAUAUGUGCCACAUUUUC